AGACUUCGGUGGAUUAUUUCUAGUGGCGGACGGGUGAGUAACGCGUGGGUACCUGCCUUAUACAGGGGGAUAACAGUCAGAAAUGGCUGCUAAUACCGCAUAAGGCUGCAUGGCAAAAACUCCGGUGGUAUAAGAUGGACCGCGUUGGAUUAGCUAGUUGGUGGGGUAACGGCCCACCAAGGCGACGAUCCAUAGCCGGCCUGAGAGGGUGAACGGCCACAUUGGGACUGAGACACGGCCCAGACUCCUACGGGAGGCAGCAGUGGGGAAUAUUGCACAAUGGGGGAAACCCUGAUGCAGCGACGCCGCGUGAAGGAAGAAGUAUCUCGGUAUGUAAACUCUAUCAGCAGGGAAGAUAGUGACGGUACCUGACUAAGAAGCCCCGGCUAACUACGUGCCAGCAGCCGCGGUAAUACGUAGGGGGCAAGCGUUAUCCGGAUUUACUGGGUGUAAAGGGAGCGUAGACGGUGUGGCAAGUCUGAUGUGAAAGGCAUGGGCUCAACCUGUGGACUGCAUUGGAAACUGUCAUACUUGAGUGCCGGAGGGGUAAGCGGAAUUCCUAGUGUAGCGGUGAAAUGCGUAGAUAUUAGGAGGAACACCAGUGGCGAAGGCGGCUUACUGGACGGUAACUGACGUUGAGGCUCGAAAGCGUGAGGAGCAAACAGGAUUAGAUACCCUGGUAGUCUACGCCGUAGACGAUGAAUACUAGGUGUCGGGGAGA
rnacentral:rRNA from 1 species